UGGGGAAUAUUGGGCAAUGGGCGAAAGCCUGACCCAGCAACGCCGCGUGAGGGAAGAAGGUUUUCGGAUUGUAAACCUCUGUCCUAAGGGACGAAGGAAGUGACGGUACCUUAGGAGGAAGCCCCGGCUAACUACGUGCCAGCAGCCGCGGUAAUACGUAGGGGGUCGAGCGUUGUCCGGAAUGACUGGGCGUAAAGGGCGUGUAGGCGGCUUUUUAAGUCUGGAGUGAAAGUCCUGCUUUCAAGGUGGGAAAUUGCUUUGGAGACUGGAGAGCUUGAGUGCGGAAGAGGUAAGUGGAAUUCCCAGUGUAGCGGUGAAAUGCGUAGAGAUUGGGAGGAACACCAGUGGCGAAGGCGACUUACUGGGCCGUAACUGACGCUGAGGCGCGAAAGCGUGGGGAGCGAACAGGAUUAGAUACCC
rnacentral:rRNA from 1 species